AUUGAACGCUGGCGGCAGGCCUAACACAUGCAAGUCGAACGAGUGGCGGACGGGUGAGUAAUGUCUGGGAAACUGCCUGUUGGAUGGGGAUACCUACUGGAAACGGUAGCUAAUACCGCAUACCAUCAGAUGUGCCCAGAUGGGAUUAGCUAGUCGGUGGGGUAUUGGCUCACCUAGGCGACGAUCCCUAGCUGGUCGUAGAGGAGGACCAGCCACACUGGAACGGAGACACGGUCCAGACUCCUACGUGAGGCAGCAGGGGGGAAUAUUGCACAAUGGGCGCAAGCCUGAGGCAGCCAUGCCGCGUGUGUGAAGAAGGCCUUCGGGUUGUAAAGCACUUUCAGCGGGGAGGCGUUACCCGCAGAAGAAGCACCGGCUAACUCCGUGCCAGCCGCCGCGGUAAUAC
rnacentral:rRNA from 1 species